rnacentral:rRNA from 1 species
UACGUAGGGUGCGAGCGUUAAUCGGAAUUACUGGGCGUAAAGUGUGCGCAGGCGGCCACGCAAGUCGAGUGUGAAAGCCCCGAGCUUAACUUGGGAAUUGCGCUCGAAACUAUGGUGCUGGAGUGUGGCAGAGGAAGGUGGAAUUCCACGUGUAGCGGUGAAAUGCGUAGAGAUGUGGAGGAACACCGAUGGCGAAGGCAGCCUUCUGGGCCAACACUGACGCUCAUGCACGAAAGCGUGGGGAGCAAACAGG